rnacentral:rRNA from 1 species
AUUAAUAUAUUUAUUGAUUUUGAAAGUUUAAAUAUUUUAAAAUAAUAAGAUUAGAUUUUAAUAUAAAUUAGAAAAAAUUAAAUUUAUGAUAGUUGAUUAGUAUUGUUAAAGAAAAUAUUAAAUAUUAAAAGAAAAAUUUAUUUUUUGUACCUUGUGUAUCAGGGUUAAUUAAGUAUAAAUUGAAUUUUUAAGUAUCUCGAAUUUAAAAGAGUUAAUUGUAUAUUUAUUUUAUUGUGAAAUAAAUAUUUAAAAUAUAUAGUUAGUAAUGAAAUGUUAGUCGUUUUUAAAUAUAUCUAGUUUUUUAAGAAAUAAAUUUAAUUUAUUGUUUAUAAAUAAUUUAUUAAAAUUUUAAUAAAUUAUUAGUAAAUAAAAAAAAAUUAAGGGAUGAGCUUUAAAUUUUAAAUUUAUAAAUUUAUAAUGAUUUUUUAAAUUUAUAGGAUUAAAAAUUUCUAUUAUUAAGAUUUUAUUAUAUUUCAUUUAAUUAGAUAAUUUAUUUAUAUAAAUUUUAAAUUUUUUAUUAAAAUAAUAAUUUUAAUAGUUUAUAUUAAGAAAUAAUGAUUAAAUUAGUAAAAAUUUUUGUAGUAAUAAAAAGUUUAAGUUAGAUAUUAAUAAAGGAAUUCGGCAAAAAUUUUUUUUACCUGUUUAUUAAAAACAUGGCCUAUUGUUAAAUAAUUUUAGGUCUAACCUGCCCACUGAAAAUGAUAUUAAAGGGCCGCGGUAUUUUGACCGUGCAAAGGUAGCAUAAUCAUUAGUUUUUUAAUUGAAAGCUGGAAUGAAUGGUUGAAUAAAAAAAAGACUGUCUCUAUUUAUAAAGUUUGAAUUUUAUUUUUAAGUUAAAAAGCUUAAAUAAAUUUAAAAGACGAGAAGACCCUAUAGAGUUUUAUUUUAAAAUUUUAAAGUUAUUUUAGUUUUUAUUAUAAUUUUAUUAAUUAAAAAUUUAAUUGGGGUGAUUGAAAAAUUUAAUUAACUUUUUUUUAUUAAAAACAAAAAUUAUUGAAUUAAUGAUCCAUUAAAAAUGAUUAAAAGAUUAAAUUACCUUAGGGAUAACAGCGUAAUUUCUUUUGAGAGUUCAAAUUGAAAAAGAAGGUUGCGACCUCGAUGUUGGAUUAAAAUAAAUAUUUGGUGCAGAAGCUAAAUAAAUUAAGUCUGUUCGACUUUUAAAAUUUUACAUGAUCUGAGUUUAAACCGGUGUGAGCCAGGUUGGUUUCUAUCUUUAAUUUAAAAUAAUAUUUUAGUACGAAAGGACCAAAUAUUUAAAUAAUUAUUUUUAAUAAUGAUUAAAAUU